GAGUUUGAUCCUGGCUCAGGACGAACGCUGGCGGCGUGCCUAAUACAUGCAAGUAGAACGCUGAAGGAGGGAGCUUGCUUCUUCUGGAUGAGUUGCGAACGGGUGAGUAACGCGUAGGUAACCUGCCUGAUAGCGGGGGAUAACUAUUGGAAACGAUAGCUAAUACCGCAUAAGAGGUAAUAACACAUGUUAUUAGUUUAAAAGGGGCAAUUGCUCCACUAUCAGAUGGACCUGCGUUGUAUUAGCUAGUUGGUAAGGUAACGGCUUACCAAGGCGACGAUACAUAGCCGACCUGAGAGGGUGAUCGGCCACACUGGGACUGAGACACGGCCCAGACUCCUACGGGAGGCAGCAGUAGGGAAUCUUCGGCAAUGGGGGCAACCCUGACCGAGCAACGCCGCGUGAGUGAAGAAGGUUUUCGGAUCGUAAAGCUCUGUUGUAAGAGAAGAACGGAUGUGGGAGUGGAAAAUCCAUGUCGUGACGGUAUCUUACCAGAAAGGGACGGCUAACUACGUGCCAGCAGCCGCGGUAAUACGUAGGUCCCGAGCGUUGUCCGGAUUUAUUGGGCGUAAAGCGAGCGCAGGCGGUUUCAUAAGUCUGAAGUUAAAGGCAGUGGCUUAACCAUUGUACGCUUUGGAAACUGUGAGACUUGAGUGCAGAAGGGGAGAGUGGAAUUCCAUGUGUAGCGGUGAAAUGCGUAGA
rnacentral:rRNA from 1 species